rnacentral:rRNA from 1 species
UACGGGGGGAGCAAGCGUUGUUCGGAUUUACUGGGCGUAAAGGGCGCGUAGGCGGCCUUCUAAGUCGAACGUGAAAUCCCUGGGCUCAACCCAGGAACUGCGUCCGAUACUGGAAGGCUUGAAUCCGGGAGAGGGAUGCGGAAUUCCAGGUGUAGCGGUGAAAUGCGUAGAUAUCUGGAGGAACACCGGUGGCGAAGGCGGCAUCCUGGACCGGUAUUGACGCUGAGGCGCGAAAGCCAGGGGAGCAAACGGG